AUUGAACGCUGGCGGCAGGCCUAACACAUGCAAGUCGAACGGUAACAGAAAGCAGCUUGCUGCUUUGCUGACGAGUGGCGGACGGGUGAGUAAUGUCUGGGAAACUGCCUGAUGGAGGGGGAUAACUACUGGAAACGGUAGCUAAUACCGCAUAACGUCGCAAGACCAAAGAGGGGGACCUUCGGGCCUCUUGCCAUCGGAUGUGCCCAGAUGGGAUUAGCUAGUAGGUGGGGUAACGGCUCACCUAGGCGACGAUCCCUAGCUGGUCUGAGAGGAUGACCAGCCACACUGGAACUGAGACACGGUCCAGACUCCUACGGGAGGCAGCAGUGGGGAAUAUUGCACAAUGGGCGCAAGCCUGAUGCAGUCAUGCCGCGUGUAUGAAGAAGGCCUUCGGGUUGUAAAGUACUUUCAGCGGGGAGGAAGGGAGUAAAGUUAAUACCUUUGCUCAUUGACGUUACCCGCAGAAGAAGCACCGGCUAACUCCGUG
rnacentral:rRNA from 1 species